UACAGGGGGGGCAAGCGUUGUUCGGAAUUACUGGGCGUAAAGGGCCAGUAGGCGGCCAACUAAGUCCGACGUGAAAUCCCCAGGCUUAACCUGGGAACUGCGUCCGAUACUGGCAGGCUUGAAUCCGGGAGAGGGAUGCGGAAUUCCAGGUGUAGCGGUGAAAUGCGUAGAUAUCUGGAGGAACACCGGUGGCGAAGGCGGCAUCCUGGACCGGCAUUGACGCUCAUGCACGAAAGCGUGGGGAGCAAACAGG
rnacentral:rRNA from 1 species